UAGAAGGGCCUUGGUGGGUGUGUUAG
rnacentral:piRNA from 1 species